rnacentral:rRNA from 1 species
GUGGGGAAUAUUGGGCAAUGGGCGAAAGCCUGACCCAGCAACGCCGCGUGAGGGAAGAAGGCCUUCGGGUUGUAAACCUCUGUCCUUGGUGACGAAAAAAAUGACGGUAGCCAAGGAGGAAGCCCCGGCUAACUACGUGCCAGCAGCCGCGGUAAUACGUAGGGGGCGAGCGUUGUCCGGAAUUACUGGGCGUAAAGGGUGCGUAGGUGGCCUUUUAAGUUGGAUGUGAAAUACCCGGGCUUAACUUGGGGGGUGCAUCUAAUACUGGAGGGCUAGAGUGCAGGAGAGGGAAGCGGAAUUCCUAGUGUAGCGGUGAAAUGCGUAGAUAUUAGGAGGAACACCAGUGGCGAAGGCGGAUUACUGGACGAUAACUGACGCUGAGGCGCGAAAGCGUGGGGAGCAAACAGGAUUAGAUACCCCUGUAGUCC